CGUUUUGUGCCCCCCCGAAGAGCCCUGUGCGGGCAGGGGGAGCUUUUGGGGUGCCACAACCCCCCCCCGGUGACCCCUUUGGGGUCUGCUCUGGGUCCCCUCCUGCACCCCCAAGGCUUGGAGAGGGCCCAAGGGGGGGGAUUCCCUCCCUGGGCCAUCCCAGGAACCCCAGGGCAGCGUCGAGAGCCCUCAGAGGGGGGAUUUGGGGCACGGGGGGGGCGCACAGGGGCUCCCCCUCCCCUUCACACAUCAGAGCCUUUUUGGGGCUCCCCUUUCUUCCCCCCCCUCCCCAAAACCCCCUCCCCAAGGCAGGGCAGAGCGCCGGCGGGUCGCAGACGGGUGAGCACCUCCACGGGGCCGAGCUUUAUUGGGUUGGGGGGGCACCAAAUUCGCUGGGUGCUCGCCCCCCACCUCCGUCCCCGUCUCCUCCGGGGCUCAGCCCCGCGGCUCCUGCGCCGCGGCGCCGGCCCCAACCUCACCUGGCUGCGUCCGCGCCAGCACAACCCGGCACCGGCAGCGCCCUCGGUGGACCCAAAACUGGGUUGGGGGGGGGUGGCAGUGUCCCCCGAGCCCUCCCCCCCGCAUUGUCCCCAGGGAUGGGGAAGGGACCCGUCCCCUCCCCACGGUGCCGGGCUCGGGGGGCGGCUGGAGAGAGCCGGGAAGCUCGCGGGGGCCGCCGGGGCUCACUGCUCCUCCUUCUCCUUCUCCUUCUCCUCCGGGAGCUUCUUGCGGGUGAAGAAGCCGAGCUGGGGCCGAGAGGGAGAGGAGGGAGGGGAUGAAGCAGCCCCCAGCCCGUCCUGCUGGGCGUGUGUGUCCCCCCCCCACGCACCCCCACCCCCAGGCUCUCACCCUCCACAGGCAGAAGAUGAUGAGCGCCAGCAGCAGCAGCCCCCCCAGGAUGCUGCCCACCAGGAUCCACAGGGAGAUGGGCACCCGCUUGGCCUGGAUGAUCUCCAGCACCGUCUGCAGGAAAAAAAGGGCCCCGGGGAGCACCCGGGGAGGGGCGCGGAGACCCCCCCAGCCCCCUCCUGGGGGUCCCCCAGCUCCUACCUCCCUGCGCCGCGCCGCCUCCCCCAGCACCAGCGCGCUGCCCCCCGGCACCCCCAGCGCGGCCGCGCUGACGAUCCUCACGCUCCGGAAUUUAGCCUGGAGUAG
rnacentral:lncRNA from 1 species